GGGGCUGUAGCUCAAUUGGGAGAGCGCUUCCAUGGCAUGGAAGAGGUAGUCGGUUCGAUCCCGAUCAGCUCCA
rnacentral:tRNA from 2 species